rnacentral:rRNA from 1 species
GACGAACGCUGGCGGCGUGGAGAAGAAAGGAAAGACGAACGCAGUGGGGACGGGUGAGUAACACGUGGGUAACCGCCCAUCAGAGGGGAUAACACUUGGAAACAGGUGCUAAACCGAUACUGAUGGAUGGACCCGCGGUGCAGUAGCGAGUGGGGUAGGGAACGGCUCACCAAGGCCACGAUGCAUAGCCGACCUGAGAGGGUGAGCGGCCACACUGGGACUGAGACACGGCCCAGACUCCGACGGGAGGCAGCAGUAGGGAAUCUUCGGCAAUGGACGAAAGUCUGACCGAGCAACGCCGCGUGAGUGAAGAAGGUUUUCGGAUCGUAAAACUCUGUUGUUAGAGAAGCGGUAUCUAACCAGAAAGCCACGUCUACCUCCUUUCCAGCAGCCGCGGUAAUAC